UACAGAGGUCUCAAGCGUUGUUCGGAUUCAUUGGGCGUAAAGGGUGCGUAGGCGGCGCGGUAAGUCGGGUGUGAAAUCUCGGAGCUUAACUCCGAAACUGCAUUCGAUACUGCCGUGCUUGAGGACUGGAGAGGAGACUGGAAUUCCCGGUGUAGCGGUGAAAUGCGUAGAGAUCGGGAGGAACAUCAGUGGCGAAGGCGGCCAUCUGGGACAACACUGACGCUGAGGCACGAAAGCGUGGGGAGCAAACAGG
rnacentral:rRNA from 1 species